rnacentral:rRNA from 14 species
UGCUGUGGUCUUACCAGCUAAGUAAGGGCUGGGCUGCUCUGGUGCGAGGAUGAGAGACCUCCCAGGAACAAGAAGGUACUUCAGGAA